rnacentral:rRNA from 1 species
GAUGAACGCUGGCGGUAUGCUUAACACAUGCAAGUCGAACGGACUCUUCGGAGUUAGUGGCGGACGGGUGAGUAACGCGUGAGAAUCUGGCUUUGGGUUCGGGACAACCACUGGAAACGGUGGCUCAUACCGGAUGUGCCGAGAGGUAAAAGAGAAAUUGCCUGAAGAUGAGCUCGCGUCUGAUUAGCUAGUUGGUGAGGUAAAGGCUCACCAAGGCAGCGAUCAGUAGCUGGUCUGAGAGGAUGACCAGCCACACUGGGACUGAGACACGGCCCAGACUCCUACGGGAGGCAGCAGUGGGGAAUUUUCCGAAAUGGGCGAAAGCCUGACGGAGCAAUACCGCGUGAGGGAAGAAGGCUCUUGGGUUGUAAACCUCUUUUCUUAGGGAAGAACAAAAUGACGGUACCUAAGGAAUCAGCAUCGGCUAACUCCGUG